UACGAAGGGGGCGAGCGUUGUUCGGAAUUACUGGGCGUAAAGGGCGCGCAGGCGGCUCUGGAAGUCAGAUGUGAAAGCCCCGGGCUUAACCUGGGAAUUGCAUUUGAUACUCUGGAGCUUGAGUGUGGGAGAGGAGAGUGGAAUUCCCAGUGUAGAGGUGAAAUUCGUAGAUAUUGGGAAGAACACCGGUGGCGAAGGCGGCUCUCUGGACCACAACUGACGCUGAGGCGCGAAAGCGGUGGGGAGCAAACAGGG
rnacentral:rRNA from 1 species